GCGUAGGUGGUUCGUUAAGUCUGAUGUGAAAGCCCUGGGCUCAACCCCGGAGCUGCUUUCGAGACUGCGGACCUGGAGACCAGUAGGGGUUGGUGGAAUUCCCGGUGUAGCGGUGGAAUGCGUAGAUAUCGGGAAGAACACCCGUGGCGAAGGCGGCCAACUGGGCUGGAUCUGACGCUGAGGCGCGAAAGCGUGGGGAGCAAACAGG
rnacentral:rRNA from 1 species